rnacentral:rRNA from 1 species
GACGAACGCUGGCGGCGUGCUUAACACAUGCAAGUCGAGCGGUAAGGCCCUUUCGGGGGUACACGAGCGGCGAACGGGUGAGUAACACGUGGGUGACCUGCCUCUAGAAACUCUGGGAUAAGCCCGGGAAACUGGGUCCAAUACUGGAUAUGACUCCAUGACGCAUGUUGUGGGGUGGAAAGCCUUGUGCGGCUAGAGAUGGGCCCGCGGCCUAUCAGCUUGUUGGUGGGGUGAUGGCCUACCAAGGCGACGACGGGUAGCCGGCCUGAGAGGGCGACCGGCCACACUGGGACUGAGACACGGCCCAGACUCCUACGGGAGGCAGCAGUGGGGAAUCUUGCGCAAUGGGCGAAAGCCUGACGCAGCGACGCCGCGUGAGGGAUGACGGCCU